GGAUACCUUGCAACAUUUUUGCUCAUGGAGAACUGGAGAACUGCACUGAGACCAAAAGAAUCACCUGCAGUUGGAACCAGUAAGGAAAACGUGGGACACCGCUUCAAGAGUGGCCUUCCACAAUCAACAGCCCAGGUUGAAGAAUAUUGGUUAGAAAUCUGUGUCAUUUAUCUCUUCAGCACUGCCACAACAGAUGAAAAGCAACAAUCUAGACUAUGUCUCCUGUACACUGAUGGAUCUCCUUCAUCAUUUUCCAGGCUGUGGAAAAACUGACAUUCUG
rnacentral:lncRNA from 1 species